rnacentral:tRNA from 1 species
ACCUUCGUAGUGUAAUAGGUAAACACGGCAGAGUGGAUAUUUGUAAAAGUGAGUUCGAGUCCCGCCUGAGGUU